rnacentral:rRNA from 1 species
UACGGGGGGGGGCAAGCGUUGUUCGGAAUUACUGGGCGUAAAGGGCUCGUAGGUGGCCAACUAAGUCGGACGUGAAAUCCCCUCGGCUUAACCGGGGAACUGCAUCUGAUACUGGAUGGCUUGAGUUCGGGAGAGGGAUGCAGAAUUCCAGGUGUAGCGGUGAAAUGCGUAGAUAUCUGGAGGAAUACCGGUGGCGAAGGCGCAUCCUGGACCGGCAUUGACGCUGAGGAGCGAAAGCCAGGGGAGCAAAGCGGG